rnacentral:rRNA from 1 species
CACGUAGGCGGAUAGUUAAGUUAGAGGUGAAAGCCCAGGGCUCAACCCUGGAACUGCCUUUAAUACUGGCUAUCUAGAGAUCGAGAGAGGUGAGUGGAAUUCCGAGUGUAGAGGUGAAAUUCGUAGAUAUUCGGAGGAACACCAGUGGCGAAGGCGGCUCACUGGCUCGAUACUGACGCUGAGGUGCGAAAGCGUGGGGAGCAAACA